rnacentral:miRNA from 1 species
CAUGUUGUGUUUUUGUAGC